rnacentral:rRNA from 1 species
AGCGAACGCUGGCGGCAGGCCUAACACAUGCAAGUCGAACGAAGUCUUCGGACUUAGUGGCGGACGGGUGAGUAACACGUGGGAACGUGCCCUUUGGUACGGAAUAACUCAGGGAAAGUUGAGCUAAUAACGUAUGUGCUCGAAGGGGGAAAGAUUUAUCGCCAUUGGAGCGGCCCGCGUCUGAUUAGCUAGUUGGUGAGGUAAAGGCUCACCAAGGCGACGAUCAGUAGCUGGUCUGAGAGGAUGAUCCGCCACAUUGGGACUGAGACACGGCCCAAACUCCUACGGGAGGCAGCAGUGGGGAAUCUUGCGCAAUGGGCGAAAGCCUGACGCAGCCAUGCCGCGUGAAUGAUGAAGGUCUUAGGAUUGUAAAAUUCUUUCACCGGGUACGAUAAUGACGGUACCCGGAGAAGAAGCCCCGGCUAACUUCGUGCCAGCCGCCGCCGUAAUAC